UGGUGGAGUGAUUUGUCUGGUUAAUUCCGUUAACGAACGAGACCCCUGCCUGCUAAAUAGCCCAGCGAGUGAUUUCACUGGCUAGGGCUUCUUAGAGGGACGUGCAUUCGACUAGUUGCAGGAAGAUAGGGGCAAUAACA
rnacentral:rRNA from 1 species